rnacentral:rRNA from 1 species
CGCGUCCCAUUAGCUAGUUGGUGAGAUAACAGCCCACCAAGGCGACGAUGGGUAACCGGUCUGAGAGGGCGAACGGUCACACUGGAACUGAGACACGGUCCAGACUCCUACGGGAGGCAGCAGUGGGGAAUAUUGCGCAAUGGGGGAAACCCUGACGCAGCAACGCCGCGUGGAGGAAGAAGGUCUUCGGAUUGUAAACUCCUGUCUUCUGGGACGAUAAUAAACUCCUGUCUUCUGGGACAAUAAUGACGGUACCGAAGGAGGAAGCCCCGGCUAACUACGUGCCAGCAGCCGCGGUAAUACGUAGGGGGCAAGCGUUGUCCGGAAUUAUUGGGCGUAAAGAGCGCGCAGGCGGUUUUGUAAGUCCACCGUNNNNNNNNNNNGGCUCAACCGUAACGGGUCGGUGGAUACUGCAAGACUUGAGGGCAGGAGAGGAAAGUGGAAUUCCCAGUGUAGCGGUGAAAUGCGUAGAUAUUGGGAGGAACACCAGUGGCGAAGGCGACUUUCUGGACUGUUACUGACGCUGAGGCGCGAAAGCUGGGGAAGUGAACGGGAUUAGAUACCCCGGUAAUCCCAGCCGUAAACGAUGGGUACUAGGUGUAGGGGGUAUCGACCCCCCCUGUGCCGGAGUUAACGCAAUAAGUACCCCGCCUGGGGAGUACGGUCGCAAGACUGAAACUCAAAGGAAUUGACGGGGGCCCGCACAAGCGGUGGAGCAUGUGGUUUAAUUCGACGCAACGCGAAGAACCUUACCAGGGCUUGACAUCCGCGGAACCUCUGUGAAAGCAGGGGGUGCCUUCGGGAGCGUAUAGACAGGUGGUGCAUGGCUGUCGUCAGCUCGUGUCGUGAGAUGUUGGGUUAAGUCCCGCAACGAGCGCAACCCCUAUCCUUUGUUGCCAGCAUUAAGUUGGGCACUCAAGGGAGACUGCCGGUGUCAAACCGGAGGAAAGGUGGGGAUGACGUCAAAUCAUCAUGCCCCUUAUGUCCUGGGCUACACACGUGCUACAAUGGCCAGUACAGACGGAGGCGAAGCCGCGAGGUGGAGCAAACCCGAGAAAGCUGGUCUCAGUUCGGAUUGCAGGCUGCAACUCGCCUGCAUGAAGUCGGAAUCGCUAGUAAUCGCAGGUCAGCAUACUGCGGUGAAUACGUUCCCGGGCCUUGUACACACCGCCCGUCACACCACGAAAGUCUGCAACACCCGAAGCCGGUGAGGUAACCCGAAAGGGAGCUAGCCGUCGAAGGUGGGGCCGAUAAUUGGGGUGAAGUCGUAACAAGGUAACC